CCCAGACUCCUACGGGAGGCAGCAGUGGGGAAUAUUGGACAAUGGGGGGAACCCUGAUCCAGCGACGCCGCGUGAAGGAAGAAGGCUUUCGGGUUGUAAACUUCUUUUAAGAGGGAAGAGCAGAAGACGGUACCUCUUGAAUAAGCCACGGCUAACUACGUGCCAGCAGCCGCGGUAAUACGUAGGUGGCAAGCGUUGUCCGGAUUUACUGGGUGUAAAGGGCGUGCAGCCGGGAAGACAAGUCAGAUGUGAAAUCCCGCGGCUCAACCGCGGAACUGCAUUUGAAACUGUUUUUCUUGAGUACCGGAGAGGUCAUCGGAAUUCCUUGUGUAGCGGUGAAAUGCGUAGAUAUAAGGAAGAACACCAGUGGCGAAGGCGGAUGACUGGACGGCAACUGACGGUGAGGCGCGAAAGCGUGGGGAGCAAACAGGAUUAGAUACCCCCGUAU
rnacentral:rRNA from 1 species